rnacentral:misc_RNA from 1 species
AUUUGUAUUAUUAAUGACUAUAGAUUCAUGUAAUAAUUUAUUUUAAAAGUAAUUAUGAUUUAAAACAUGUAUUAUAACUGUUGAGUUUGAACUCGAGCAUAUCGAAAACAAGUUCGAGCUCAAACUCAUCAAGCUCAAACUCAAGCUGGACAAAUGAAUUUAAACCGAACUCAAAUCAAAUUUGAAUUUAAUAUAUUGUAAACGAAUCAAGCUCGAACUUUAAUAUUAAAGCUCGAACCUGAAGUAUAUAUUCAAGAGAUGAGCUUGAACAAGUCAAAACUCAGUUCGAUUCGAUUACACCCCUAAAAAAAGAAGACCUAAGAAUAGGAGAGGUCGGCGUUCAUAGCCAAUAGAAACACUUACCCAGUAACCAUGGAAGAGAUAUCCUGUUCAUAAUCCGUCGAAAAUAAUAAUAAUAAUGAAAGUACAGAGAAGAGAUACCUUUAUCCUAUCUCUUGAAUGUCCCACACGAAAUCAGAGGUAGAAAUCAUCAUGCACAAAAGAAAUGAAUCUGUGCUUCAAUCUUGUCAUCUUGUUAACAGUAGCAUGGCACCACUCAAAAAAAAAAAAAAAGAAAGUAAAUCAUAACUCUUAUCGUCCGAAAGGGCAAACAACUAAUUUGAUAGCUUAUACCUCUUUCGCUUCCCCUUCACCGUACCUAACCUAAUCUUUUCCAUGAAAAUAAAACGAAACUAUCUCCUUCUGCAUGACCCAUUCAUCUCCACCCAAAUUGAGGAAGGAUAGAUGUUCUACAAUUCCAUGAUUCACCCGCACAAUGCAUGAUAUACAAUACUAUCACACAUACAGAAAUCAAUGGUGGUGGAAAUGGGAAUACAAAAAAGCAAACCCUAAUAAUCUAAAUGUAUAAAAAAACCCGAAAGCAUAACUCUUCCUGGUUACUAGGUAACCUCUCCAUUGGCUCUUCUGGUAUUGCUCCUGAUUUUCUUCACCAUGCUACUGUAGAUCUUUCUUUGUCAUCAAUUCACUCGUAUCUAAUAAUAAAAGGCUUCUCGCCAAUUGCAUCACAAGAAAUAAUCGGGUGCAGGUUUUUUGGCAGGUGUGCCUCUUGAUUCCUGUGGAGCUGCAUCAAACACACGAAACCGCUUGUGAAGGUUCUCAUCCAACUCGAGGAUUGCAGCCACAUUACCACAUCUGUAACAGUAGUUUGGAGCCGACCAGACAGUAACUAUUUGGUUAUUAAACAUCCAUUUGUAUCCUUCCAUUACCAAUUGAUGAGCACGGCAUAUAUAGUCAAUGUUGUUCGAGUGGUUGAAAGAAGUGACCACACUGCCACCAAAUAAAAAACCAGCACCACGUGGACUCAAACCCCAACCAUCCACAAUAUCUUCAGGAUCUGACCAGAGAAGAUCACACAUGGCACCGUCAUGAGGUACUUCUUGCUUUCUAUCAAUUGUUCGAAUCUGGAAAAAGGAUCUAAAUAGUAAUUUCCUAUGUAUAACUUCAGAAAAAUGAGUGAGUAAUCAGAAUGGAUUUUAACCUGAUCCAAUGUUGAUAGGGCAGGAGACAGACCACCAUGAACACUAAAAAUCCGAUUCUCAAUGAGAGCUGACAAACUUAAGUAAUCAAAUAUAUCAGUGCAAUAUCGCCAAACAUUCACAGAACCAUAUUUUCGUAGGCACUCAUCAUAAAAUCCAUACACCUGUGUUAUCUGACGGCUCUCAUGGUUCCCUCUGAUGAGGGUUAUCCGAUCUGGAUAUCUCACCUUAAGGGCAAGUAGAAGCAGAAAUGUUUCAACAGAGUAAAAUCCUCUGUCAACAAAAUCUCCAAGAAACAAGUAAUUAGUCUUUGGGCAAUCCCCUCCUACUUUGAAAAGCUCUUUCAUGUCAUAAAACUGCCCAUGGAUAUCUCCACAUAUAGUGACAGGGGCAUCGACGCGUUGCACGUUGCUCUCUUCGACAAGGAUUUCCAUGGCUUUGAGGCAAAGAGCCUUCACUUCCGAUUCCUUCAAUGGCUCGCAUUUCUUUAGCUGCUCUAUUUGCCUAUCUAGGUCAGACAUCUCCCUGCCCCUCUCUCGUUUCCGUCUAAAACCCUAAAAAUUACAGGAUUGCAAAUUUGUAAUAUUUUGUGACUCUGUCUCUCUUUGAAUCACAGUAGCUCUGCAUCUACCGCUUUAAGCAUUUUCUCCACUAGUUUUGUCU